rnacentral:rRNA from 1 species
CACCGCGGUUAUACGAGAGGCCCAAGUAGAUAGCCAACGGCGUAAAGAGUGGUUAAAAAACCCCAUCACUAAAGCCGAACGCCCUCAAAGCUGUUAUACGCAUCCGAAGGCAAGAAGCCCACCCACGAAAGUGGCUUUAUAACUUUGAAUCCACGAAAGCUAUGAUA